AUUUAACUUUAUGAUUUGUAGGGGGUCAGGAGGAAACCGUAUAAUGAAUUUAUCACACACAGGACUAUUUCUCCAGCAUUUUGUAGAAAAAAUGGUUUCCGGAUGAUAACUUUCGUAAGGAAGGUUUGAAUUGAUUUUUGGGGUAAUGGUGACUAAAUGGUCCCAACUGUUUAGGAAUUAGGGACCAAAAAAGGGGCCCAAAUAAGCAUUUUUGUAGUUUCAAGACAAUUACUUGUGUUAAAUCUCUCUGAAAUUAUACCACAAGUUUCCAUACUACAAAGGGAUGGUUAAGAUUGACUUUGGGGGUUUAUGGCUUAACCUUUUAGCCCCAAGAACCGCCUGUAGGGGUGAUGGCGACAACCAUUCUUUGAUUGCCCAUACAGUACGCCCAGAGAGUUUGUAAUCGCGAACUCUAAUCACCGAUUUCCGAGUGUAGCGGUGUGACACCGCGAAUCACGGAUUAUACUCCCAAUUUCCUCCAAAGAUUCUCUCCCA
rnacentral:lncRNA from 1 species